ACUUAAAAGACCCGCGAGAUGAAAGAGAUUGGCCACAGAGCAUCUCGCGGGGACCUUAAACAUGAGACUUGGUGCCAAGAGAUUGCAAUUUGACAUUCUUGCAAGACACGCCCUACUUACAACCAAAUAAGAGCACAGGCAGCAACACACUCAGUCAUGUUUUGGCUUUGAGCACACACAGAUCCAGGGCUCUCAGCGCAUACAAAGUGUAUAAGGACAAUACGUUAUAGAUGAAACGUAGACAACUAAGCGAAGAAGUAAGCAACGUGGAGAAAAGAGACUCAAAAUCAUUGGAAAGACAAAACAGAAAAAGAAUAAUCUAGGUGCAAAUUCAGAAAAUAAGGAAAGUAAUUAUCAGCCCGGAACAAGUGGAAUUGAAUCCGGACAUUGGCACUAUACACAUGCUGAGCAGGUUAGAGAUUAUGAAAGCAAUGAAAUUCGAAAGGCUCAAAAAAAAAAAAAAAAAAAAAAAAAACAUUGGCAUGACAACAUGUGGAGAAAGAUAAAGAAUAUGAAAGUAGGAAAAUUAGAAAGUAUAAAAAAAAGAAAGUAAGGAUCGCAGUAGCACAAACAAAUGGAAAUUAUUACUCGAAAAAGAGAAAACAAUUACCACAGACCAGGUGUCAUUGACACAAAA